rnacentral:rRNA from 1 species
CAAUAGCGUAUAUUAAAGUUGUUGCAGUUAAAAAGCUCGUAGUUGGAUUUCUGGCCGAGUGUCCCUAGGCCAGCAUGACGUUUGGUCCUAGGCGCUCUGCCAUCCUUCUGUCAACCUUCGCCUUCUUCAUUGGGGGCGCUGGGGCUCAGAUAUUUUACCUUGAGAAAAUUAGAGUGUUUCAGGCAGGCUUUCGCCGGAAUACAUUAGCAUGGAAUAAUGGAAAAGGACUUCAACCUCUUCUGUUGGUCUGAGAGGCUGUAGUAAUGAUUAAUAGGGAUAGUUGGGGGCAUUGUAUUAACUGUCAGAGGUGAAAUUCUCGAUUUGUUAAAGACGACUAUGCGAAAGCAUUUGCCAAGGAUGUUUUCAUUUAGAUACGAAAGAAACGUAAAGGGUAAGGGUACUAACGAAGUACGGAAUUUAAGGAAUUAACCCGUACUUCGUAGGACGUACGUCCGAACCGGAACGGACC